UGGCUCAGGACGAACGCUGGCGGCGUGCUUAACACAUGCAAGUCGAACGAAGCACUCUAUUUGAUUUUCUUCGGAAAUGAAGAUUUUGUGACUGAGUGGCGGACGGGUGAGUAACGCGUGGGUAACCUGCCUCAUACAGGGGGAUAACAGUUGGAAACGACUGCUAAUACCGCAUAAGCGCACAGGAUCGCAUGAUCCGGUGUGAAAAACUCCGGUGGUAUGAGAUGGACCCGCGUCUGAUUAGCCAGUUGGCAGGGUAACGGCCUACCAAAGCGACGAUCAGUAGCCUUCCUGAGAGGUGACCGGCCACAUGGACUAGCACGCCC
rnacentral:rRNA from 1 species